UACGUAGGUCCCGAGCGUUGUCCGGAUUUAUUGGGCGUAAAGCGAGCGCAGGUGGUUUAUUAAGUCUGGUGUAAAAAGCAGUGGCUCAACCAUUGUAUGCAUUGGAAACUGGUAGACUUGAGUGCAGGAGAGGAGAGUGGAAUUCCAUGUGUAGCGGUGAAAUGCGUAGAUAUAUGGAGGAACACCGGUGGCGAAAGCGGCUCUCUGGCCUGUAAUUGACACUGAGGCUCGAAAGCGUGGGGAGCAAACAGG
rnacentral:rRNA from 1 species